AUUGAACGCUGGCGGCAUGCUUUACACAUGCAAGUCGAACGGACUUAGGGGCUUGCUCCUAGGUUAGUGGCGAACGGGUGAGUAAUGCAUCGGAACGUACCGUGUAGUGGGGGAUAACGCAGCGAAAGUUGUGCUAAUACCGCAUACGAUCUACGGAUGAAAGCAGGGGAUCGCAAGACCUUGUGCUAUACGAGCGGCCGAUGUCGGAUUAGCUAGUUGGUGAGGUAAAGGCUCACCAAGGCGACGAUCCGUAGCGGGUCUGAGAGGAUGAUCCGCCACACUGGGACUGAGACACGGCCCAGACUCCUACGGGAGGCAGCAGCAAGGAAUUUUCGGCAAUGGGCGCAAGCCUGACCGAGCAACGCCGCGUGGAGGACGACGGCCU
rnacentral:rRNA from 1 species